rnacentral:rRNA from 1 species
UGGGGAAUUUUGGACAAUGGGCGAAAGCCUGAUCCAGCAAUGCCGCGUGUGUGAAGAAGGCCUUCGGGUUGUAAAGCACUUUUGUCCGGAAAGAAAUCCUCUGGGUUAAUACCUCGGGGGGAUGACGGUACCGGAAGAAUAAGCACCGGCUAACUACGUGCCAGCAGCCGCGGUAAUACGUAGGGUGCAAGCGUUAAUCGGAAUUACUGGGCGUAAAGCGUGCGCAGGCGGUUUUGUAAGACGGAUGUGAAAUCCCCGGGCUUAACCUGGGAACUGCAUUCGUGACUGCAAGGCUAGAGUAUGGCAGAGGGGGGUAGAAUUCCACGUGUAGCAGUGAAAUGCGUAGAGAUGUGGAGGAAUACCGAUGGCGAAGGCAGCCCCCUGGGCCAAUACUGACGCUCAUGCACGAAAGCGUGGGGAGCAAACAGGAUUAGAUACCCUGGUAGUCCACGCCCUAAACGAUGUCAACUAGUUGUCGGGUCUUCAUUGACUUGGUAACGUAGCUAACGCGUGAAGUUGACCGCCUGGGGAGUACGGUCGCAAGAUUAAAACUUAAAUGAAUUGACGGGGGUCUAGC